rnacentral:tRNA from 1 species
UUAGCGUACAUUAAAUACUACCGCGUUUGACUGGCAGUCAAAAGGCCACGGGUUCGAAUCCCGUAUUCUCCA